GACGAACGCUGGCGGCGUGCCUAAUACAUGCAAGUCGAACGAACGGAUAAAGAGCUUGCUCUUUUGAAGUUAGUGGCGGACGGUGAGUAACACGUGGGUAACCUGCCUCACAGCUGGGGAUAACAUCGAGAAAUCGAUGCUAAUACCGAAUGUGCUGAGCAUCAUAAGAUGUUCAAGUGAAAGACGGUUUCGGCUGUCACUGUGAGAUGGACCCGCGCUGGAUUAGCUAGUUGGUAAGGUAAUGGCUUACCAAGGCGACGAUCCAUAGCCGACCUGAGAGGGUGAUCGGCCACAUUGGGACUGAGACACGGCCCAAACUCCUACGGGAGGCAGCAGUAGGGAAUCUUCGGCAAUGGACGAAAAGUCUGACCGAGCAAACGCCGCGUGAGCGAAGAAGGCCUCGGUCGGUAAACGUACGUACC
rnacentral:rRNA from 1 species